CGCGGUUUUUCCGGGCGCCCGCUUUCUUAGCCUCGGGAUCCCCGUUUAGCGUGGCCUGGGAUACUUUCCUGUAUCCGUCAGGAAGUAAAGCCCGAGGCAGGAGAGGGCCGCCGCCCAGGCCCCGGUGGGAGUCUGACACCCUCUUCUGGCACUUUAUCAAGCAGAAGCAAUUACGGCAUCAUCUGACUUUCUAGUAUUUUUGUCUGCUUUCUAGAGAAGUAGGGCAAAGAGGAAAGAUGAAGACCCUCGGUCUUGGAAUCCUUUCCCUGGAAAGCCCAUGAGACAGAUCACAGUGGUCAGCAGACUAUGGAUGGGAGCAGACUUCACUGUGACUAGGAAUAAGUCUCCCGGGAAGCUCAACAGCCACUACUCCACAAGCUACCUUUACCAUCCUCAGCAGGACCAGCGGUCUUGGUAGCUGCGGCCACUGUAGGUUCUGACCAUAAUUAAAUGUACAUGAUUCAUGAAUUGAGUAAAGACUUAAAAAAUUUUUAACUUGCACUUUAAUUAAAUAUAUGUGGAUGUUAUCUCACAUUUUUUUCUUUAAAAUUUUUUUUAGUUAAGGUAUAAUUGAUAUAUGACAUUAAAUUAGUUUCAGAUAUAUGACUUAUUAAUGAUUUGAUUGACACUGGUAUACACUGUAAAAUGAUCACAAUAUGUCUAGUUAGCAUUGGUCACCUUACACAGUUAAAUUUUUUUUCUUGUGAUUGAGAACUUUUAAGAUGUACUCUUUUAGCAACUUUCAAAUACACAAUAUGGUAUUAUUAACUAUCUUCUUCAUGCUGUAUAUUUCAUCUCCCCCUGACUUAUUUAUAUCUAGACAAGUUUGUACCUUUUGACCCCCUUCACCCAUUUUUCCCACUCCCCCACCUCCUGCCUCUGACAACCACCAAUCUGUUCCUUGUAUUUAUGAGCUUGGUUUUGGUUUUGGAUUCCACGUGUAACUGAGAUUGUACUGUGUUUGUCUUUCUCUGUGUGAUUUGUUUUCACUUAGCAAAAUGCCUUCGAGGUCCAUCCAUGUUGUUA